CAAAUAUAUUAUAUGGAGUAAUAGGGGGAGUUACAGGGAGGGUUAUAUGGGGUAACAGGAGGGGUUAGAGGGAGGGUUAUAUGGGGUAACAGGAGGGGUUAGAGGGAGGGUUAUAUGGAGUAAUAGGAGGAGUUAUAGGGAGGGUUAUAUGGAGUAAUAGGAGGAGUUAUAGGGAAGGUUAUAUGGAGUAAUAGGAGGGGUUAUAGGGAGAGGUUAUAUGGAGUAAUAGGAUAAGUUAUAUAGAGUAAUAGGAGGAGUUAUAGGGAGUAAUAGGAGGAGUUAUAGGGAGGGUUAUAUGGAGUAAUAGGAGGAGUUAUAGGGAAGGUUAUAUGGAGUAAUAGGAGGUGUUAUAGGGAGGGUUAUAUGGAGUAAUAGGGGGAGUUACAGGGAGGGUUAUAUGGGGUAACAGGAGGGGUUAGAGGGAGGGUUAUAUGGGGUAACAGGAGGGGUUAGAGGGAGGGUUAUAUGGAGUAAUAGGAGGAGUUAUAGGGAGGGUUAUAUGGAGUAAUAGGAGGAGUUAAAGGGAGAGGUUAUAUGGAGUAAUAGGAUAAGUUAUAUAGAGUAAUAGGAGGAGUUAUAGGGAGUAAUAGGAGGAGUUAUAGGGAGGGUUAUAUGGAGUAAUAGGAGGAGUUAUAGGGAAGGUUAUAUGGAGUAAUAGGAGGUGUUAUAGGGAGGGUUAUAUGGAGUAAUAGGGAGAGUUAUAGGGAGGUUAUAUGGAGUAAUAGGAGGGUUAUAGGGAGGGUUAUAUGGAGUAAUAGGGAGAGUUAUAGGGAGGGUUAUAUGGAGUAAUAGGAGGAGUUAUAGGGAGGGUUAUAUGGAGUAAUAGGAGAGUUAUAGGGAGGGUUAUAUGGAGUAAUAGGAGGAGUUAUAGGGAGGGUUAUAUGGAGUAAGGGAGGGUUAUAUGGAGUAAUAGGAGGGGUUAUAGGGAGGGUUAUAUGGAGUAAUAGG